GGAGGGUGCAAGCGUUGUUCGGAAUUAUUGGGCGUAAAGAGCGUGUAGGCGGUCCGGUAAGUCAGAUGUGAGAGCCCUGGGCUCAACCCAGGAAGUGCAUUUGAAACUACCAGACUUGGGUACGGGAGAGGAGGGGGAAUUCCCGGUGUAGAGGUGAAAUUCGUAGAUAUCGGGAGGAAUACCAGUGGCGAAGGCGCCCUCUGGACCGGUACUGACGCUGAGACGCGAAAGCGUGGGGAGCAAACAGGAUUAGAUACCCUGGGUAGUCCACGCCGUAAACGAUGAGCACUAGGUGUAGCGGGUAUUGACCCCCCUGCUGUGCCGUAGCUAACGCAUUAAGUGCUCCGCCUGGGGACUACGGUCGCAAGACUA
rnacentral:rRNA from 1 species